UGAACCCUUAUUUUCACAUCCAGGGAU
rnacentral:piRNA from 1 species